rnacentral:rRNA from 1 species
GAUGAACGCUAGCUACAGGCUUAACACAUGCAAGUCGAGGGGCAGCGCAGUGUAGCAAUACAUGGGCGGCGACCGGCGCACGGGUGCGUAACGCGUAUCCAACCUUCCCGUUACUCAGGGAUAGCCUUCCGAAAGGGAGAUUAAUACCUGAUGGUGUUUGAAUUCCGCAUGUUAUUCAAACUAAAGAUUUAUCGGUAACGGAUGGGGAUGCGUGACAUUAGAUAGUAGGCGGGGUAACGGCCCACCUAGUCUACGAUGUCUAGGGGUUCUGAGAGGAAGGUCCCCCACACUGGAACUGAGACACGGCCCAGACUCCUACGGGAGGCAGCAGUAGGGAAUUUUCGGCAAUGGAGGAAACUCUGACCGAGCAAUGCCGCGUGAAUGAUGAAAUUCUUCGGAAUGUAAAGUUCUGUUGUUAGGGACGAAUGGCAGUGGUAGGAAAUGACCAUUGAUUG